rnacentral:rRNA from 1 species
GAGUUGGGUUAAGUUCCGCAACGAGCGCAACCCUCGCCCUUAGUUGCCAGCAUUUAGUUGGGCACUCUAAGGGGACUGCCGGUGAUAAGCCGAGAGGAAGGUGGGGAUGACGUCAAGUCCUCAUGGCCCUUACGGGCUGGGCUACACACGUGCUACAAUGGUGGUGACAGUGGGCAGCGAGCACGCGAGUGUGAGCUAAUCUCCAAAAGCCAUCUCAGUUCGGAUUGCACUCUGCAACUCGAGUGCAUGAAGUUGGAAUCGCUAGUAAUCGCGGAUCAGCAUGCCGCGGUGAAUACGUUCCCGGGCCUUGUACACACCGCCCGUCACACCAUGGGAGUUGGUUUUACCCGAAGGCGCUGUGCUAACCGCAAGGAGGCAGGCGACCACGGUAGGGUCAGCGACUGGGGUGAAGUCGUAACAAGGUAGCCGUAGGGGAACCUGCGGCUGGAUCACCUCCUUUCUGCGGCCG